GGCCCAUCCGUGGUACCAGUGAAUAGCGUUUGAUUCAUCUGUGUACAUUAAGUUUAUUUAACCUUCCCCGUCAACUACCAUUCCCCGGGGUUCUUGGGUGUGUUCUACAAACCUUUCUUCGGUUAACCCUGUUUCCUUCUUGAAUUCCACCAUUAAAUGUUCUUUCGCUCGCUGUUGCCGACUUUAAACCGUACCCGAGAUAUAGACAAUCAGUGCGAUUGUACAGAUAACCCUCAGCCAGAUAGAAAAACGUUCAUAUCUGCCCCGAUAUGGUUCUUGGGGCACAAACCGGCAACCCACUCGAGGCAGCAUUUUGUCGCCUGUGCAAACAGAUAAAAUCGCACAGCGGACAACCGGCAGUCCGGAGAGCCGGGAGCACCUCUAAGACGAAGUGUUAGUUUCGGGCUUGCGGUCACCCCCUCCCGCACGAGCCACCGGGGUGAUGCAGUAUGCGGGCACGAUAUUCAUUACAAUUUUCCCUGUCUACUUCCUGCGAGCGCCUAUCGGGGCCGUCGGCCCAGGUUUUUACAGUAUCAGAACAUCAGUUUUGAACUGCGCGUGUCAGUUCGAUUACGGCCAGAGGCGCAUAUGGUAUGCGGAUCUGUUGAGAAAGUGUUUUGUGCGGUGCAUUUUGAUCUUAAGUUGCGCAUGAUGGCAUCGAGGAAUUGCAACUUGUCCCCGGAUUGGGCAGCGCGACAGCGAAGUGCAUGUGCAGUGUGUAAAGAAGAAAACCUAUCCACAGCUUGGUGACCAGUCGGGCAAACUAGUGACGAAAAUGGUGUGUGCAAGCCUUGCCACCAGGCGAACGCCUUUCGGUAGCCCCUUUCGUGUUUGCGUGUGAUUUAUGGUGGCUCGUCGUCAAGAAGUCGAACAAAUUGAACUGUUAGGAUGGAAUGUUUUUUAAGCACUUCAAGCGGCUUGGAAAAAUUGGUUCACAAAUCGUGCUGCCCGAUCUGACGUACAAUAAAAUGUAUGCUUUAUUGAGCUUGUGGUUCCAAGUGAUUGCACCACCGUUACAUCUACACUCUCUUCACAUUAACACACACACACACAUACAAGUAAAGUUCGGGGACGUUGGUCGGAAAAGAGUGAGAAAAAAAGCUGCUACAGUACAUAAGCGUUAUCUAUAUCACGCCCCAUAUCAGAAAGCGCUUAUAUUCACCGUCUUUACAACACCAACAGGCAACAAAUAUCUGUACUGUUACGCAUACACAUACACAGCUCUUUCCUUGAAUAAUGCCCAUGGUGAUGAUGAUGAUGAUCAUGAUGGUGGCUAUGAUUCAUGGAGAGGAAUCUGCUAACAAUAAUAAUAUUAACAUUAAAAGUUAUUAUUAUGAUUGGACUGGGCGCAUUACUAAUUUCGUGGAAAUUUUUAGCAUGGUGGGAAGCUAACAUGUCAAAAUUAACUCAUCGCAACGUUGGGAACAGGACUUCAAAUCCUGCCUGCCAAUUCAAUUCAAGUCACACGUGUACGGAGAAAAGGUUCAAAUCAGCUAUCAGCAAAAUAAGCAAAGUUGCUCGCUACAACGUUGCUGCUUACAUUAGGAAUUUGUUCCUUUUGACUCUAUUUGCCGCAAAGUUUAAUAACCUCCGGCCUAGAUCAUCUACAAAAAGUGACCCGUUAGAGGAUGUGUCGCAUGUAUACGGCGGAGAAAGCUGCAGUGUUAUUAUUUUCUUUUUAUUACUUCAAAUAUAUUUUCCCGAGAUAGUAAUGGUGCAGUAGGAGAUACCAAAAUAAAUUUUGCACAAAUUUCAUUCAAAGCUCAGCACUGACCUUACACGAGCACACAUUUUUUUAUGUUUUUCGCAAAUUACUGAAGCAAGUGAUUCUAAAAAUGCAAGUACACUGUUUCCUUGUUUGUACGGAUUCCCUAAGGAUUCCCUUGUUUGUACGUAAGAAGGUGUAAAUGAAACGUUACAGUGGCUUUGUUUAGUUUUGACCUUCUCUAGGUGAUUCGUUGCUCUUCAGACAUUCGAUCUAGUUAUAAUAUAUCUCUUUUCAUCACUGCAUAAUCACAAGAAUCUGUUGGGUCUUGAUCGUACAAUUUACAAUUACGUCGUCACACAACCACUUCUACAAUUGUUUGCUAACGGAGCUCAGUAAAUAACACCAGUUUAUAUUUAAAAUUAUGUUUAUUAUUUCAUGUUGAAUUAAAUGUCUAGAAUUAUUACGAGUUGUAUUGAUUGCUCAUUUAAAAAAAAACCUAAAAUUAUCUUGCAAAAAUAGGACUGAACAAACGAUUAUUAUACAAAACUUGGCUAACUGUUUUCCUUUUAACACACAUUCCACUCGCCAGCACUUUUCAAACUUAAUGCUAUGCUACUGUAUGCUAAAAACAAAUUUGGAACGAUUGCGAAGUAUCCAGAGAGCAGAUAAUUUCUGUACAUUUUGUUUUGCUUUCCAGCUCGAUGCUAGAGUAAUUCGGAACAUUAUAUACAGCUAUUCUAAUGUUAAUAUCCCCUGCAUUCGAUCAGAUCAAAACAUUUACAUCAUAAAGAAAUUGCAUAAUAUUUGCUAAGAGAUUGUUACUCAUUGACGUGAUUAGAAGAUACACUCGACCCAUCCUUUCUGUAGCUUAAAGUAAAUGACAACUAACCAAACGGUGGUAGAGUGUCGGAUAGUGUUCUUUUUUUGUGUGGUUGUUGCUUUAUACUACAUUACACCUAAUGUCAUAAUUGCACUAAUUGAGGAAUGGACAAUAUCGCACUCCUUUCGGUGGAUAUGCAUUGUUCCCAUCUUUCUGCUGCAUUGCUCCACCAUCUUCUUACAGCUAACCCAUUGUGCGUGUGCGGUGCUGUACGUGCAGUAGAGCUAACGCUUUAAUCCUACAUUCUUAACAUGUUCUUAACAUUCGUCGAGUCUUUUGCGUUAUUCAGUUCAUUUGGUAUGAGAAGCUUCCCUGAAGACAGAAACAAACGACCAUUCGAGAUUCGUCCAUCUGUACACGUGUGACAAUUCGCGCCAUUCACGUCACCUGUUCCAGCACCUUAUCGCGUCAUCGAUACCACGGUCGGGCGGUUGAUGUUGUGCUUGCUCUCGAUCAUCUCCUGCUGCCCGUGAGCCUGUUCACUCUCCUCAUCCGCGACCGAAGGACUGCGGCUGUGAUUGUGCGCUCCCGGUGCGUGCUGACCGUGGCCAAGCGUUCCAACCAUGUGACCCUCGUGGUGCAGUGCCUGCUGGUAGCUGGCGUAGUGAUUUCCACCCAUCGGUUCCAUCUUUACAAUCGUGCCCAGCGAGUGCUGAUCGACGCUACCGUUCACAUCGGCCGGCAGCAUAUCGUAGUACAGCAUGUCCUCGGGCGAUUGCGGUGGGCUUUGCUGAUACUUGGAGCUAACGAUCGAUCCGUUAUUGUUUCCAUGCCCAACGCCCGCCAUACUGUAGCUCACCGGGCUCAGUGCCCCGGUGGCAGCGGCAGCCGUGGAUUGAUGAUGCUGAUGGUGGUGAUGCUGACCCGACCCGAUACCGCCCGUGGGACUGCCGACGAACAUGUUCAUCGGUGUGGGCGACUGUAGCAAAAAGGCAUUGGUGGCUUUGGGUUGCUGGUUGUUAUAUUUGCUGUUGCUGACGAUUGCGCCGCUCGAGGAAGUGCUGGUGAUUGGCGAGGGGACCUGCUGCGUGUAGCAGAUCGGGGACAUAUGGUUAUGGUGCGCGGGCGACUGAUUGCUGCCCUCGCUUGACGGUGACGAUGGCAGCAGCUUGUCGAAGGAGGAGUUUUCCGCAAUGUUCAUCAACUUGAGGCCUGUGACAAAAAAAAAAAACAUAUCAUUAUUUUAACAAUUCUCAUUGCGUUUUUUUUAACAUUCGUUCGUGAAUCGCGAGCGCCAACACAAACACAUUCGAGCAGCCAGCCCAUGAAACGUAUAAACCCCUAAAAGUAUGCAAUCUACUUACCAUCUGUUUUCUUCGGUGUCUCGGCUAGGCUGCUACUGCUCGAAUUGGUCUGACGGUUAGCCGAAGCGUUACUAGCGUUACUCUUGCCGUUACCAUCGCUAUUUUUGCUUCCCUUUGGUUUGCGCUUACGAGACUGCAAAGGAAAAUGGAUUCAGUGGACGGUUCACGUUGUGCAGUUUGUAGUACAGUCCACACGCAUUGCAGACUGGUUCACCGACUUGAUUGCGGCGCCACAGCGAAGUGUUGGUUGUGUUGCAGUUAGAGCAUUGCAGUCCUACACGUCUUGCCGAGCUCUGAUGAGGAUAGUUAAAACAGAAUCAGUAUUAGAAACGGUUUUUGUUAAACGAACAUCGAAACAAACAACACGGAUACAUGGGGACAUUUUUUGUUACAGGGAGUGUGGAUGAUUAGAUUACAAAGCGAUAAUAGGUAAAUUAGUAAGCAACAGUAACUAAAAGAUGCUAGUAAAUGUUAGAGUUAGAGCAUCUCUAAAACAAUGGGAAAGAUCUGCGAACUAAACUACGCUAAGGGAAUUCGGGGUCAUUCGGAGGGGUUCCAAGCAACAACAACAACAACACCAGGAUAAGGCUCUAAUGAAAUCCGUUCCAAAUGAAAAAGGUCCGAAGAAGGAAACCUACCAUCCGUCGACUUUGCUUCUCCUCGGUGGUGCGAGUGGUCAAGUUACUGAAGGUAUAGUUGUUCUUAUAGAGAUCCCCGCCCUGUUCUGCGGCCACUGGAAUUACAAUUUUGGGAUAUGGUAGACUUUGAUUAGUUGCUCACAAACAAACAAACGGGAAACAAAACAAUAGGUAACCUGACGAGUACGAAGUGUGUAUUUAAAAAAAGGAAUUAAAAAAAACAUAGGAAUUUGGAAACAUCAUUCAACAACACCAAUUUCGAGUACGAGCAAAGUUCGAAACUAGCUAUCAGCAGCAAAGCAAAACGGGAGCAUUUUUCACGAUGAUGGCACCAACGCAAUCAACAGAAUGGCAACCGCUUGGUAGACGCGUAAUACAAAAGUCUAUCAUUUGCGAGUACUAGCAACAAUGGCAUACAAAAUAAUAAUAAAAGAAACACACACACACACUGAGCUGCUGCUACUACUGCAUGAACAAUGGUAUCUAAAUUAUGGCCGGGCGGGGGGUACACAUUCAGCUUGAAAUACAACUAGAAGCCAACUAGUAUCUAUCCCUUCUAUUAUUUUAGAUUUUUUUUCUAGACCUUCCAAAUUGGAAUGGAUUUCUGAGGAGCAUUAAAAUGAUGCGAAGCUUUCACCCUCUCGAACCCACCCCCAACUCAGGGACAAAUACCCAAACACACACAGACAUAUAAAACACAUAAACAAAUCUUAUGUAAAUUGCAAGGAGAAAAAAUGAUACUAAUGAAUUGUUCAAUGAUACAUUAACUAAUGAGAAAACUUUACAGUUGAAAGUAAUGUAAAAGAAAUAAAAAAUAAACAAUGCUCCUCCUAGAGCGCAAAUCAUCACAAAAUGUGAUAGAACUAAA